UACAGAGGGUGCGAGCGUUAAUCGGAAUUACUGGGCGUAAAGCGCGCGUAGGCGGCUUUGCAAGUCGGGUGUGAAAUCCCCAGGCUUAACCUGGGAACUGCAUUCGAGACUGCAUUGCUAGAGUAUGGGAGAGGGAAGUGGAAUUUCCGGUGUAGCGGUGAAAUGCGUAGAUAUCGGAAGGAACAUCAGUGGCGAAAGCGGCCCUCUGGACCAGCACUGACGCUGAGGCACGAAAGCGUGGGGAGCAAACAGG
rnacentral:rRNA from 1 species